UGGUGUUUAGGGUACCCGUGGGCGGCGGCGAUUGCUUACCAUCAGGUGAUCCGUCUGCUCAUUUACCAGCUUAUACCAUAAAUAUAUAGGUACAGAACCGUUUCAGAGUUUUAUAGCAGCUAUUAAAAAUAGUGUGAUGCAACAAAAACCCGUUUAUUUGAGUCAUAAUGUUUAUGUACAUUGCCUUGAUACUUUGUGUGUUUUCAGUAUCCACAACAGCGUUCCCAGCCACAGCGAGGACAGUGAGCGUCAUAACCUGGUCAAACUUACUGAGCAACCCUUACCACCCAGAAGAUACACUUAAAUCAGCAUCCGAUGACUCAGUCAGUGCUGAUAAUGAGAAGUUCGAAGUUUCGUUGCGCACGGAGCGAGUCAGUGCGGAGUUUACAAGCACGCACAAAUGGAUUGACGAUAAACGGUUGAUGAUUAACGAUCAUUUGUUUGAUUUAAAUAAAAAGUGAUGUUUUAAAUAUUAA